AUUACUUUUUAUGUAAUAAAACAUCGCCAAAGAUGUCAAAAACGUGUCAUCAGAUCUUUAAUAUCUGAUAUAUUCUCUAAAUGGGAACGUUAUAUUAAACAGAUUUUUAGAACAGGGAGCUGGAGUAAGAGCUUGCUCUUUCUGCUCCACGCAUCAACCUGGUAUUGCAGUACCUCCAGGAAUGGUGGCCUUGUU